rnacentral:rRNA from 1 species
UACGUAGGCAGCGAGCGUUGUUCGGAAUUACUGGGCGUAAAGAGUGUGUAGGCGGCGCUCUAAGUUCGGUGUGAAAUCUCUCGCUUAACUGGGAGGGUGCGCCGGAAACUGGAGUGCUCGAACGUGGGAGAGGAAAGCGGAAUUCCUGGUGUAGCGGUGAAAUGCGUAGAUAUCGAGAGGAACACCUGCGGCGAAGGCGGGUUGCUGGGCUGACACUGACGCUGAUGCGCGAAAGCCAGGGGAGCGAACGGG